AGUGCAGCUGAGGACCAAGGCA
rnacentral:miRNA from 1 species